rnacentral:rRNA from 1 species
UGCAAGUCGAGCGGGGAAAAGUAGCUUGCUACAUUACCUAGCGGCGGACGGGUGAGUAAUGCUUAGGAAUCUGCCUAUUAGUGGGGGACAACAUCUCGAAAGGGAUGCUAAUACCGCAUACGUCCUACGGGAGAAAGCAGGGGACCUUCGGGCCUUGCGCUAAUAGAUGAGCCUAAGUCGGAUUAGCUAGUUGGUGGGGUAAAGGCCUACCAAGGCGACGAUCUGUAGCGGGUCUGAGAGGAUGAUCCGCCACACUGGGACUGAGACACGGCCCAGACUCCUACGGGAGGCAGCAGUGGGGAAUAUUGGACAAUGGGGGGAACCCUGAUCCAGCCAUGCCGCGUG